GUGAGGAAUAUUGGACAAUGGGCGCAAGCCUGAUCCAGUCAUGCCGCGUGCAGGAAGACGCAUCUAUGGUGUGUAAACUGCUUUUGUACGGGAAGAAACACUCCCUCGUGAGGGAGCUUGACGGUACCGUAAGAAUAAGGAUCGGCUAACUCCGUGCCAGCAGCCGCGGUAAUACGGAGGAUCCAAGCGUUAUCCGGAAUCAUUGGGUUUAAAGGGUCCGUAGGCGGUUUAAUAAGUCAGUGGUGAAAGCCCAUCGCUCAACGAUGGAACGGCCAUUGAUACUGUUAGACUUGAAUUACAAGGAAGUAACUAGAAUAUGUAGUGUAGCGGUGAAAUGCUUAGAUAUUACAUGGAAUACCAAUUGCGAAGGCAGGUUACUACUUGUGGAUUGACGCUGAUGGACGAAAGCGUGGGGAGCGAACAGAAUUAGAAACCCGAGUAGUCC
rnacentral:rRNA from 1 species